rnacentral:misc_RNA from 1 species
AAGACUAUAGACCUGCGGAGUACCUGCGGAGGGAUCAUUACAGGACUCGCAAGACUCCUUAAACCCCUGUGAACUUACUGUUUAUACGUUGCUUCGGCGGGUGCUCCGGGGUCCGCCCCGGGGCGCUGCGCCCGCCGGCAGCCUACUUAAUUCUGUUUCUCUGCGUUGGCAUCUCGAGUAAGCAAAAUAAGUUAAAACUUUCAACAAUGGAUCUCU